CACAUCAUUACAACACUGUAUAUAUGUAUAUAAUAUUACAUUUGAAAUGUCUGUGAGUGUAAUGUUUACUGUUCAUUGGUUAUGUUUACUUGCCUUGGCAACAUUAUCAUAUGUUUCCCAUGACAAUAAGGCCCUUGGGGGGGGGGAUGGGAUGUCACAGAAGAUCAGGUCACCACGGGGGGUGACAACGUCAAGCUGGGGAACUCAGAUCUGCUGAUCUGCGGACAAACGCAACAACAGCCCCAUUGCCAUGGAUCCUGACGGGCUACAUCUACAUCUAAAGGGUCCAACAGCAGCCUCUUCACCUAGAUGACUGAGGAGGAGUUUGAGGACUGGGUCAAUGUUCUAGAGGUCCCACUCCAGCCUCUUCACCUGGAUGACUGAGGAGGAGUUUGAGGACUGGGUCAAUGUUCUAGAGGUCCCACUCCAGCCUCUACACCUGGAUGACUGAGGAGGAGUUUGAGGACUGGGUCAAUGUUCUAGAGGUCCCACAGCAGCCUCUUCACCUGGAUGACUGAGGAGGAGUUUGAGGACUGGGUCAAUGUUCUAUAGGUUGACCCAGACUCUAAGGGGUUCAUUCAAAUAUGAACUUUAAAACUAUGCCUCUGAUGCGUUUCUUCAUCACCAACAGGAAAGACAAGUUUAAAUAUAGUGACAGUUUGUUUCCCAACAGGAAAGACAAGUUUAAAUAUAGUGACAGUUUGUUUCCCAACAGGAAAGACAAGUUUAAAUAUAGUGACAGUUUGUUUCCCAACAGGAAAGACAAGUUUAAAUAUAGUGACAGUUUGUUUCCCUCUUGGUGCAUUUCUCCAUCUGCUCCUGUGUCCUAAAAUGGCCAUUUCAUUCAUCCCAGCAACAGUUACAGAUUUAGGAUGUGUUGAGUGAUUACUGCAUAUAAACUUAAAUAAACAGUCUUUAUAUG